rnacentral:rRNA from 1 species
AUUGAACGCUGGCGGCAGGCCUAACACAUGCAAGUCGAACGGUAACAGGAAGCAGCUUGCUGCUUCGCUGACGAGUGGCGGACGGGUGAGUAAUGUCUGGGAAGCUGCCUGAUGGAGGGGGAUAACUACUGGAAACGGUAGCUAAUACCGCAUAAUGUCGCAAGACCAAAGAGGGGGACCUUCGGGCCUCUUGCCAUCGGAUGUGCCCAGAUGGGAUUAGCUUGUUGGUGGGGUAACGGCUCACCAAGGCGACGAUCCCUAGCUGGUCUGAGAGGAUGACCAGCCACACUGGAACUGAGAUACGGUCCAGACUCCUACGGGAGGCAGCAGUGGGGAAUAUUGCACAAUGGGCGCAAGCCUGAUGCAGCCAUGCCGCGUGUAUGAAGAAGGCCUUCGGGUUGUAAAGUACUUUCAGCGGGGAGGAAGGGAGUAAAGUUAAUACCUUUGCUCAUUGACGUUACCCGCAGAAGAAGCACCGGCUAACUCCGUG